rnacentral:misc_RNA from 1 species
AAAUGCGAUAAGUAAUGUGAAUUGCAGAUUUCCGUGAAUCAUCGAAUCUUUGAACGCACAUUGCGCCCUCUGGCAUUCCGGGGGGGAUGCCUGUCCGAGCGUCAUUACGCACCCUCAAGCCCGGCUUGUGUGAUGGGCCCCGGCGUCUCGUUCGCGAGACGGGCCCGAAAGGUAGCGGCGGCGUCGACCCGAUGAGCCCGAGCGUAUGGGGACUUCUGUCACACGUUCGCGGUGCGGACCGGCGCCUGCUUGACUUUUCUGAUUAUCCAGGUUGACCUCGGAUCAGGUAGGGAUACCCGCUGAACUUAAGC